UAAGUAGAUUUUUAAGAAUUAGAAGAUGUAUGAAAAUAAAAAGAUUUUAAUUUAUUUAAUAUUUUUAAAAUUUUAAAAUGAGUAGAAAAGAAAUAAAGUAGAAAAAGGUAAUACUAGACUUAACCGAAUAGCCAUGUUGGUUUUUUAAUCCAAAUCUAAAUGUCCCUACAUCUUAUAUAUACAUUAUAUGUAUAUAUACAUAAUGCCUUUGUGAGGACAAGUAUGAAAGUAAUCCAAAAGAAGGUUGAUGUGCUCAAGAAGCCGGAUGUUAGGAAAAGCAAAAAGAGAUAUGGUAGUUUCAUUACUUUAGUGAAUUAUGUAUUUUUCUAAGAAAAAAUCGUGAUGUGAAUGUGUAUUCUAACAAAACUCGUGCAUAUAUAUAUAUUUAUUUUUUUUUCAUCAUAAUAUGCUUUAAAAAUGUAAUAUAAAAAUUAUAUUGUCGACUGGUAUUGUUAUGAUUAAAACUAUAUUAUACACGUAAAAAUUUGUAGAGCUGAUCAAGAGAUAUGGCAGUUGAUUAAUUUAGUGAAUUUUGUAUUCUCUGAAAAUGUAUUCUUUCAGCCAAAGCAGUGGUCCAUUAGUAAAACAUUAAAUUAAGGUUUCCAGUAAGUCUAACAGAACAUCAUUGCAUGUGAAAGAGAGAGCGCAAGACCGAAAUUCGCACCUAACGAAAUGAAAACGAAAUUGUCUACCUAAAGAUGCUAAGAAGUGUACUCCAUGUAUGUUAAAACUUAAUUAUCAAUUAAUUAAAGGAAGUUUUAACAAAACAUUUUUAGUACUGUUCACUUUUAACAAAAUUAUAUUUUUACUUUAAAAAGUCACUCCUAGUACUAUUCACUUACAACACAUUUUUUUCAUUUUGAUUAAAACUUAAAGUUUUCAAGCUUUUUUCAUUAGUACUAUUCACUUACAACACUUUUUUUUUUCAUUUUGAUUAAAACUUAAAGUUUUCAAGCUUUUUUUCAUUAGUUUUCCUUUAAUUAAAAGGACAUCCAAAUAAAAAUUAACAAAAAAUUACACAGGUCACAAUCAAAUUUAGGUUUUUUUUUUAAAACAAAAAUUCCGAACACGGAAACCUUAAUGGGAAUCCCAUGUGUCCUCCUUAUGUCGGAGAUGUUCAAUGAAAAAUAUGGUUUCCUAAUCCAAUUUUGCAAGUCUAAAUGAUGAAUCUCGAACAAGAUCUAGUACCUGCCGCCAGACCAAACUAAUGAAGAAAUAGGCCACUAAAAUUCCAGGAAAGACUUUGAUGGCCUUCUUUACUUUACCUAGAAAAGAAGAAAAUUGGAAAAGACUUCGAUGCUUUUGGACCUCCAAAGUCGGUGGUCAGAUGACGGAUUAUAAAUUUUCCACAGAGAUCACAAGCACCACAAUUACUUCCGACGUACAUGUCAACUUUAAAACAAAUACGUAAAACUUAUCACGUAAUGCAUGACGGUAGGUUUUUAGUUUUCAAGAAGUACGUAUUAUGUGGGGCAUUCAAAGGAGAUAGAUAUCUUAAGUUAAAAUAUUGUAAUUCUACACCGAAAACUUAAAAAAAAUAUAAUACUAUGUUUAAAUGAAUGGUUUCAUUAUUAAUAACCGAGAUCUUUAAUUUGUGAUGAAACUAAUUACUUAUUAAGUUGUGUAGGUUAUUUAGCAAGAACGACGACUCCGAAAUCUUAAAAUCCAUGUACCUAUAACUUAUAAUACUUAUAUGGUCUGUACUCUUGCAACAAUGCAAAAGCUACACGAGGACGACGAAGUGCGCAUAGCAUUGUCCUCAAUUAUUCAUUUAAGAAAACUUCAUAGCUUUUAGUCUCAUUAAUUUUCUUCAUCUUUCUGAGUGGGAUAACCAAUUAAAAAUUAAGUGGAUCUUCUUUGUGAGUAGUAUUUCUUUGUCAAAAAACAAAAUAAAACAACUAAGUUCCUUCCUCCAUCACAGAAUUACCAAUUAUUAUUUCAAUAUUGUUGCUGCAUGAUAAUUAUGUCUGUCCAUUAAUUGAUGUAAUCGCUCAGCCAUUGAUUCUUCAAAUGAACAGUUUUUUCAAUUGAUUAAGCGAUCAAUUCUCCCUAUUAAAUAAAGCAUAUUUGAAACUCUUUAAUAAUAAUUCAUUCAUUCUCUCUCGAAGUAUAUUUUCCUAUACAACAAGUAUUAUGUUAUCGUUAUUAUUAUUUUUAGUGCAAAUUGUUUUCUUAUUAUUGCUUAGUUUCUGUUAUUGCAGGUAGAGAUUCCUUCUUUCAUGAGUUUAGCUAACAUAUAUAACAACAUACAUAGAGAUAUUAUUAAUAAACAGGGUCCCAACUUUCCAAUCAUAGGGUUAACCACCAUUAUCCUUCCUUCAUGUUCUUCCACAUAUGAAAUAACAUUAUUUUAAUUAGUGGGAUUAGUCUCCUUAAUGUCAUGGAUGACUCUAACACCUCGAAAAGGUGGAAUAUUAUAUAGUUUCCACGUUACAGAUUAAUUGAUAUGAGAGAGAUGAUCUUUUCGUCAAUUGCCAUCAGACCUUCGACAUUCUUAAGUUGUUACGUGUCUAUUGCCGACGAUGAUACAAAAGCUGAUUGGAUCAUGUCUUAGUGUCUACUUAUGAAUAUUUUUAUUUUACAUUAGUUAUUUUCUGCUCAUUUAUAUCUACACCACUUAUUAAAAAAAUACUAUUUAUCAACCAAAAAUUAUAAAAAUAUUAUUAUACCCUUUUAUAUAUGGGCAUUAAAAUUAGCUAACUCUUUUGUUUAUGUUAUUAUAGCAAUGGCCUCAGAACUAAACAAAUUUUACAGUUUUUUUGUUUUCUUACUCACAUGUUAUCAAAGCAUAUUUAAACUUAAAAUAUAAAAAAAACCUCCUAACCCCUUGUCUUCUCUCUCUUUCAUAUCUAUAUGUGUAUAUAUGUAUUUACUAAAUUUACACAGAUUAUAACUUCGAAUAAAAAAAAACAAAUUCUAGUCAUUUAUGCGACAAAUCUAGAUUGAGCCUCUGUUCUUUUUUGGUGUCUCAAAAUUACAUCCAAACUUCUCUAUUUUUUUCUAAGUCUUCUUCGUAGUUAUUAUUAAGAGACCUAUUACGAUAACUUUUACUGUGAAAAUGUCAAAUAAUCGCUUUACUCAUUAUAUCAACUUGAAUAACAUAUUUGAUAUUAAAUAUCAAUUCAUAUUAACUUCCAAUUCUUUGUAAAAAAAAUUAAAAAAUUAAAAAACAUAGCCGUCUAAAGCCAAGACCAUAGAAAAUUCUCUGCUACGGCCCCUGCUUUGACUUUGGGGUCGAUGGCAAUCUUCUUGACAAUCGUCAAUUAUUCUCAUUGUUCUAAAAAUCUCCGCCUAACGUGCUUAGGUCCCCUUAGGCUAGGCGGUUGUUCACCACUACGAUUAAUUCCUACGCAUUUGAAAAUUAAAAAAAUAGUGCCUAGACUGCCUAGGUACCCACCUUGGCAUCCACCUAGGUCACAACUCUCACUUAGACAUACUUAACUUUCAUUUUUGCAUUUUAAUUUUUUAAAUAAAUUGUAAGAGACUUGUUGAAUAUUUAGAUGAACACAUAUUAUAUGCUUGUUCCCCAUGUUUUCAUUAUGUUUUAUACUUUAUAUUCUAUAUGCCAGUAUAUUUUGUAGUUUAUAUAUCCCAAUAAAAUUAU
rnacentral:lncRNA from 1 species